UAGGGAAUCUUCGGCAAUGGACGAAAGUCUGACCGAGCAACGCCGCGUGAGUGAAGAAGGUUUUCGGAUCGUAAAACUCUGUUGGUAGAGAAGAACGUUGGUGAGAGUGGAAAGCUCAUCAAGUGACGGUAACUACCCAGAAAGGGACGGCUAACUACGUGCCAGCAGCCGCGGUAAUACGUAGGUCCCGAGCGUUGUCCGGAUUUAUUGGGCGUAAAGCGAGCGCAGGUGGUUUAUUAAGUCUGGUGUAAAAGGCAGUGGCUCAACCAUUGUAUGCAUUGGAAACUGGUAGACUUGAGUGCAGGAGAGGAGAGUGGAAUUCCAUGUGUAGCGGUGAAAUGCGUAGAUAUAUGGAGGAACACCGGUGGCGAAAGCGGCUCUCUGGCCUGUAACUGACACUGAGGCUCGAAAGCGUGGGGAGCAAACAGGAUUAGAUAGCCCUGGUAGUCCACGCGUAAACGAUGAGUGCUAGAUGUAGGGAGCUAUAAGUUCUCUGUAUCGCAGCUAACGCAAUAAGCACUCCGCCUGGGGGAGUACG
rnacentral:rRNA from 1 species